UAGGGAAUCUUCGGCAAUGGACGAAAGUCUGACCGAGCAACGCCGCGUGAGUGAAGAAGGUUUUCGGAUCGUAAAACUCUGUUGUUAGAGAAGAACAAGGACGUUAGUAACUGAACGUCCCCUAACGGUAUCUAACCAGAAAGCCACGGCUAACUACGUGCCAGCAGCCGCGGUAAUACGUAGGUGGCAAGCGUUGUCCGGAUUUAUUGGGCGUAAAGCGAGCGCAGGCGGUUUCUUAAGUCUGAUGUGAAAGCCCCCGGCUCAACCGGGGAGGGUCAUUGGAAACUGGGAGACUUGAGUGCAGAAGAGGAGAGUGGAAUUCCAUGUGUAGCGGUGAAAUGCGUAGAUAUAUGGAGGAACACCAGUGGCGAAGGCGGCUCUCUGGUCUGUAACUGACGCUGAGGCUCGAAAGCGUGGGGAGCAAACAGG
rnacentral:rRNA from 2 species